rnacentral:rRNA from 1 species
AACGCGAAGAACCUUACCUGGGUUUGACAUGCACAGGACGACUGCAGAGAUGUGGUUUCCCUUGUGGCCUGUGUGCAGGUGGUGCAUGGCUGUCGUCAGCUCGUGUCGUGAGAUGUUGGGUUAAGUCCCGCAACGAGCGCAACCCUUGUCUCAUGUUGCCAGCACGUUAUGGCGGGGACUCGUGAGAGACUGCCGGGGUCAACUCGGAGGAAGGUGGGGAUGACGUCAAGUCAUCAUGCCCCUUAUGUCCAGGGCUUCACACAUGCUACAAUGGCCGGUACAAAGGGCUGCGAUGCCGUGAGGUGGAGCGAAUCCUUUCAAAGCCGGUCUCAGUUCGGAUUGGGGUCUGCAACUCGACCCCGUGAAGUCGGAGUCGCUAGUAAUCGCAGAUCAGCAACGCUGCGGUGAAUACGUUCCCGGGCCUUGUACACACCG